rnacentral:lncRNA from 1 species
ACAGAGUUCCUCCAUACCAAACAAUAGACGUCUAAAUCAUACUAACCAAAUACGUAACUCCGAAGCAAAUGGAGCGCACCAUCACCUUCCGCUGAGCUGAUAGCCUACUUGGAGGGCUUUUGACCUGUCUAUCAGGACCUGCGAGCAUGAAACGCAGCGUCCCCAGGCAAAAGGGACGUCAGUACGAAUAAUGUACCGAGUAUGUAAGGCACAUAAAUAAAUACAUAGGAGACAUGGAAGACAUAUGGAGUACAUGACUCAACCCGUAAGUUUGAAUAACUUUGUAAAUCAUAACUUACUUUCAGCUUCAUGCAUAUGCGUAUGAAUGUCAGGUCGUGCAUAGGUAUAUGUUUCAUAACAUCAUCAGCCUCUAAGGGCAUCCCAUCAUAUCAUAUCGGCCACUGUGGGCAAAGUCAUAAUCGUAUACCAGCUGAUCAGGUGGGGGUGCGUCUAUAACGCCAUAACCAUUCCCAUAUACAUAUAUAUACAUACAUAUAUACGCGUAUAUAACGCCAUUUGAAUACAUACAUAUAUAUUCGUAUAUAAUGCCAUUUGAAUACAUACCCAUAUAUGCGUAUAUAAUGUCGUUUGAAUCAUAUUUCAGCCACUGUGGGCAACAUCAUCAUCAUAUACCAGCUGAUCAGGUGGUGGUGCGUAUAUAACGCCGUAACCUUUUCCCAUAUCCCAUAUAUAUAUAUUUACAUAUAUACACGUAUAUAACGACAUCUGGUCAUGGGUCAAUGCACAUGAAUGCAAUGCAUGAAAAGUACGUCAAUAAAAUCAUUCGGAAUAUCAUAAGACCAUUUUGCCUCUUGAGCAAUGUCAUAAAGUAACAUCUUUUCAACUUUUGUAUUUUUCUGAGACCCAUGAACAGCUGAUAAAAUAUUAUGACACAUGGAAAUUAAAGAACAUAGAUAUUUCUAUUACUUCUAUGAGUAGAGUCAUUCAUGGAAUUUGUGCAUUUGCACGUUUCGUUCGUAUCGUAUGGAUCAUGCCAAAGGAAAGAAGGGAUAGCCUUAACAUAUCUGAAAUAGGAAAAACUCCGUAUAAUAUUCUUGGAGAAGAUUGCACCGUACUUCCUUCGAAUGGAAAAACCCCGUUACUAAGAUUUUAAGAAAUGUUUCGGCAUGAACUCUUGAAUUCUUGCGUGAAAUCUCAAUUACCGUUAAAUAGCACAAAUAGUUUGCUCACUAGGUUGCAUCCUCCAAUUGCUUACAGCUCCAACUUCUUGACUUCUAAUUACCAUCAGGUUUAAGUAGUUUACUGUGGGUGUGAAAUUUUGGUAACCCAUUUGAAGAGGAAUUUCGUUCCCCUCACUAUGGCAUUUGAACCAAUUGUCAAAAGUUUAGAAGAUUGGAAACCCUUUUAAGAUUGAAAAUCUGUUGUUGAAGUUUUGUGAAGGUUAUCCUGACUUUGAAGGUUAUAUUAUGAAGAGGAGAUCCUAAAAUACCAUUGAAUAAGUGUACUUGAUGUUGAAU